GAGGGUGCAGCUCAAAUGGUGGAGCGCAUGCUUAGCAUGCAUGAGGUCCUGGGUUCAAUCCCCAACACCUCCA
rnacentral:tRNA from 1 species